AAUGCAUGUCCCCAAAAUCGUGCAUCGUCUUCGGGAUCGAAUGCAACGCGCUUGAGGGCAUAUCGGAGAUCGCCGAAGCCCGUCCAGCAGAGUUGUGAUAGAUUUGACA
rnacentral:sRNA from 1 species